AUACUUACCUGGCAAGGGAGACACCGUGAUCACCAAGGCGGAUCACCCAGGGCGAGGCUCGGCCAUUGCACUGCGGCUGUGCUGACCCCUGCGAAUUUCCCAAAUGUGGAAAUCUCGAUUGCAUAAUUUCUGGUAGUGGGGGACUGCGUUUGCGCUCUCCCCUG
ensembl:snRNA U1 U1 spliceosomal RNA